rnacentral:misc_RNA from 1 species
UCUCAGGCUUUCGAACAACUCAAGCGAAUGCACAUUAUCAUCAUCAGCGAAAUAAACAAUUCCAUCGAGCCUAUGCCUCUCUAUAUGCUCCAAAGCCGCAUUUCUCUGAUGUGCACCUCUGUCUUUCUCAGUCGUGGAAUUCCUCUCGCACACCACAUGCCUAUACAUUACCCCCGUUUUCCUCAGAAUGUCUGCCGUCUCCAUAGACGCCGACUUCGUUUCCACCACAAUCCACAACAACGGAGGCUGCAACAGCCUGAGCACCUGCCCUAAUCUAUGCAGAAAAUAGGCCUGUAAAGCACGAUUAUACGUCGGCGUAAUCACGAUUAAUAGCUUCCUCGGAACAAAAUCAAAUCUGGAAACAUAGCUCAUUUGCGUAUCAACCCCCAAAUUCACAGUAUUUAUCGCAAAAACAUCGUGCUUAAUACUGCGAUUAUCUAAUUGAGCAUU